GUAGGUGUAUGACGGUACUAUAUGAAUAAGCACCGGCUAACUCCGUGCCAGCAGCCGCGGUAAUACGGAGGGUGCAAGCGUUAUCCGGAAUCAUUGGGUUAAAGGGUCCGUAGGCGGGCAAUUAAGUCAGAGGUGAAAUCCCACAGCUCAACUGUGGAACUGCCUUUGAUACUGGUUGUCUUGAGUUAUAGUGAAGUAGAUAGAAUAUGUAGUGUAGCGGUGAAAUGCAUAGAUAUUACAUAGAAUACCGAUUGCGAAGGCAGUCUACUAACUAUAUACUGACGCUGAUGGACGAAAGCGUGGGGAGCGAACAGGAUUAGAUACCCUGGUAGUCCACGCCGUAAACGAUGGAUACUAGUUGUUGGGUUUUCGGACUCAGUGAUUAAGCGAAAGUGAUAAGUAUCCCACCUGGGGAGUACGGUCGCAAGAUUGAAACUCAAAGGAAUUGACGGGGGCCCGCACAAGCGGUGGAGCAUGUGGUUUAAUUCGAAGAUACGCGAAGAACCUUACCUAGCCUUGACAUAAUUGAAAAUCCACCAGAGAUGGAGGAGUGCCUUCGGGAGUUCAUUUACAGGUGCUGCACGGCUGUCGUCAGCUCGUGUCGUGAGAUGUUGGGUUAAGUCCCGCAACGAGCGCAACCCUCGUCACUAGUUACUAACGGUUCGGCCGAGGACUCUAGUGAGACUGCCUUCGUAAGGAGGAGGAAGGUGAGGACGACGUCAAGUCAUCAUGGCCCUUACGGCUAGGGCAACACACGUGCUACAAUGGUUAGGACAAUGAGAAGCAAUAUCGCGAGGUGGAGCAAAUCUAUAAACCUAAUCUCAGUUCGGAUUGUAGUCUGCAACUCGACUACAUGAAGCUGGAAUCACUAGUAAUCGUAGAUCAGCUAUGCUACGGUGAAUACGUUCCCGGGUCUUGCACACACCGCCCGUC
rnacentral:rRNA from 1 species